rnacentral:rRNA from 1 species
UGCCAGCCGCCGCGGUAAUACGGAGGGGGCUAGCGUUGUUCGGAAUUACUGGGCGUAAAGCGCGCGUAGGCGGUCCGCAUAGUCAGGCGUGAAAGCCCCGGGCUCAACCUGGGAACUGCGUUUGAUACUGGCGGGCUAGAGUUCGGGAGAGGGUAGUGGAAUUCCCAGUGUAGAGGUGAAAUUCGUAGAUAUUGGGAAGAACACCAGUGGCGAAGGCGGCUACCUGGACCGACACUGACGCUGAGGUGCGAAAGCGUGGGGAGCAAACAGGAUUAGAUA